GAAGAGGCAGCUGUCUCGAGCUGUCUGGAGCUGCCACAGCUCUGGAAUCACACCGUGUAACUGCUCAGUGCUUCAGGUCGGGGACGGAGCGGGAGGGGCCCUUCGGGCCAUAUUUCAUGGGAGAGGUAUUGAGCCCUCAUCCUGAGGAAGAAAUAUGGCUGUUAAACAGGCGGCUAAUGGCACGCCAUUUAUCUACUGGCAAGUGAGGAGGCUCAUUAAGUUGGCCGGCCCAAGCCGGUCUCCACAAGAAAUGCAAAAUUAGCCGGAAGGGCAGAAAUGGGACGGAAAUGAAAGUGAGGAGGGCGAGCGAGCAUUACCAGAAAUUGGAACUUCUGAGCCAGUGGCGGGAAGGAAAUGGAGACUAUUUUCUUCCCGUUCUAAAAGGGACAUGCUCCAAGAUGUCCCUCAGCUCACUUGUCAGAUGAAGGAAUGACUCUCUAGACCAUGUGCCACCUAAGAAGUUCUGAGGCACAGCGACUAGGCUGGGUGUCUGGUUCUGUCUGUCCUCAUAUCCAGAUGAACUGGGGCCACCGUGCAAGCUGACAAUGCCAGAGUCCCAGGCUCAGAGCUGGAGGGAAUGCUGGCACAGGAGAGCAGGGACAGGUCUGACUGGAACACAAACACACCGUCCUUUCCAGUGUGUCGGCUCACCUUGCUUGGAGCUGGGCACGCCUGGUUCUCCACGCUCCUGUCUGCAGCAGACCUCUCCAGGAGCCCCUCGACAGUAGCCUCCAGUUCGGGGAGCCCUGGGUUCGCCACCUUGGCGCUGUUCCCCUCUGAGUCAGGAGCUGCGGGAAGGCAAUUUGAAGUGGGAAGCUGGAGAUGCGGGGAGUAGGAGAAAAAGAAAAGCUCAUUGUUUUUGACAUUUCUGGAAAGCUCUGGGCUGAUCAUGGUGUCAUGGGCUGUGAGUGGGACCCGCUGUGCCAGGGCGACUUCUGCAGCCUUCCUUAAUUAGCUCUGUCUUUUUCUGUGGUGGCCUCUGGGUCUCUCAUGGGAUUGACUGAACCGGUCUAAAAACAAAGGCCCUCCCUCAGAGGUGCUGAAGAUUCUGGUAAUUUCACUCUCUGUUCUGCUUAUCUGGGGUUCGCUAGAAAGCAUUUCCGAUAAAUUCCAUUUCGUGUUCACAAAGGCGCGGGGGAGGGGAGGGCUGUUGUCAUAGUGACCAGGGGUGGACCACACUAUUAAUUUGUACAAGAACAAUAAAGGAUGCCACU